UCGGCUCAAACAUGGCUGCGCUGAGAGCUCUAUUGCUUUGGGCGCCGGGAGCAGGAGGUACUCCGCGAAUGAGAACAUUGAGAAUGUGUUCGGCAUAACUCAUUUCUUUGUAUCUCCCUGCACUCUGUGCUGGGAAAAUGAAUCAUCCAUUUGGAAAAGAGGAAGCUGCUUCGCAGAAGCAGCUUUUUGGAUUUUUCUGCGAAUGCCUGCGAAGGGGAGAAUGGGAGCUGGCACAGGCAUGUGUACCUCAGCUACAGGAGGGACAAGGGGAUAUCCCAAAGAGGGUAGAAGACAUACUUCAGGCAUUGGUGGUGUGUCCAAAUCUGCUGAGAUGUGGGCAGGACAUCAACCCUCAAAGAUUAGCCUGGGUCUGGCUUCUUGUACUGGAGAAAUGGUUGGCCCGGGAAAAGAAGUUACUCCCAGUUGUUUUCCGGAGAAAGCUUGAGUUUCUUUUAUUGUCAGAAGACCUCCAAGGUGACAUUCCAGAGAACAUCCUCGAGGAGCUGUAUGAGACCUUAACACAGGGUGCAGUAGGCCACGUGCCUGACGGAAAUCCACCCUUUCUUCAUCCUCUAUUUAGGAGCUGUAUGAGACCUUAACACAGGGUGCAGUAGGCCACGUGCCUGACGGAAAUCCAAGGAGGGAGAGCUGGACUCCUUGUCUCAGCUCCGAAGCUGUCUCUGUGCUCUGGGAUCUCCUGAGGCAGUCUCCCCAGCCAGCACAGGCCCUGCUGGAGCUCCUGCUUGGGGAGGAUGACGGCACUGGCCUCUGUCACUGGCCUCUGCAAAAUGCACUGGUGGACCUCAUUCGAAAGGCAUUGCGGGCUUUGCAGGGCCCUGAUUCGGUGCCCCCUGGGGUAGUCGAUGCCAUCUAUGGAGCCCUGCGGACUCUGCGUUGCCCUGCAGAACCACCUGGAGUUGAGUUGCGUCUCCUGUGUGAGGAACUAUUAGAGGCCUGCAGGACCGAGGGGAAUCCCCUGCGGGAGGAGCAGCUGCUCAGCUGCCUGCUGCACAAGGCCAGCCGGGGCCUGCUGUCCCUGUAUGGCCAUACCUAUGCAGAGAAGGUCACAGAAAAGCCACUGAGGGCUACAGCCUCGGGAAAAGUCUCACCAGAUCAUCUCGAUCCUGAGCGGGCAAUGCUAGCCCUGUUCUCCAAUCCCGACCCAGCCGAGGCUUGGAAAGUGGCCUACUUCUACUGCCUGAGCAACAACAAACACUUCCUCGAGCAGAUUCUGGUAACAGCACUAACAUUGUUGAAAGAAGAAGACUUCCCAAAUCUUGGCUGCCUACUUGAUAGAGAAUUCAGGCCUCUUAGUUGCCUGCUUGUGCUCCUGGGCUGGACACACUGCCAGAGCCUAGAGUCAGCCAAGAGGCUGCUCCAGACCCUGCACAGGACCCAGGACCCAGGCUGUGAUGAGCUCCUCAGGGAUGCCUGUGAUGGGUUGUGGGCUCACCUGGAGGUCCUGGAGUGGUGCAUACAGCAUAGCAGCAACCCCAUACCAAAGAGAGAUCUGUUGUGUCAUUUACACGGUGGAGACAGCCACUCAGUACUCUACACUAUCCAUCACCUUACAAACCUUCCAGCCCUCAGGGAGGAAGAUGUUCUCAAGCUCUUACAGAAAGUGCCAGCCAAGGAACCCCAGCAAGAGCCUGAUGCAGUUGAUGCUCCAGUCCCUGAGCACCUGAGCCAGUGUCAGAACCUGACACUCUACCAGGGCUUCUGUGCCAUGAAGUAUGCCAUCUAUGCCCUCUGUGUAAACUCACACCAGCACUCCCAGUGCCAGGACUGCAAAGACAGCCUCUCUGAGGACCUGGCCUCAGCUGCAGAGCCAGCGAAUGACUCUCUCUCCUCCCCAGGUGCUGCAAAUCUCUUCUCAACUUACCUGGCCAGGUGUCAACAGUAUCUGUGCAGUAUUCCUGACUCCCUGUGCCUGGAGCUUCUGGAAAACAUCUUCUCAUUGCUUCUCAUCACCUCUGCUGAUCUUCACCCAGGGCCUCACUUGCCUGAGGACUAUGCUGAGGAUGAUGACAUUGAGGGGAAGAGCCCCUCAGGUUUGAGGUCCCCAUCAGAGAGCCCUCAGCACAUAGCACAUCCUGAAAGGAAGUCAGAACGGGGUUCCCUGGGAGUCCCAAAGACCCUUGCUUAUACAAUGCCAAGCCGUGUGAAGGCAGAGCCAAAAGACAGUUACCCAGGGCCUCAUAGGCACAGCUUUUUGGACUUAAAACACUUUACUAGUGGUAUCAGUGGAUUUCUGGCUGAUGAAUUUGCAAUAGGGGCCUUCCUCAGGCUUCUCCAAGAGCAACUGGAUGAGAUCAGUAGCCGCAGCCCCCCUGAGAAGCCAAAGCAAGAAGGUCAGAGCUGCUCAGGAAGCAGAGAUGGACUGCAGAGCCGCCUGCAUCGACUUUCCAAGGUUGUCUCUGAGGCCCAGUGGAGACACAAGGUGGUGACAAGCAACCAUCGUUCAGAAGAGCAACCUUCCCGAAGAUACCAGCCUACCACACGUCAUCCCAGUCUCUGCCGGGGUCAUCGGACAAGAAGGAGCCAGGCAGAUGGCCGAGACAGAGGUUCAAACCCAUCCCUGGAAAGUACAAGUAGCGAGCUGAGCACAAGUACGUCAGAGGGAAGUCUGAGUGCCGUGUCCGGCCGGAAUGAGCUGGACAGUAGAUUGCACCCCCAUCCUCAAAGUUCACUCAUCCCCAUGAUGUUCUCCCCACCUGAGUCACUGCUGGCAUCCUGCAUCCUUCGUGGGAACUUCGCAGAAGCCCAUCAGGUGCUGUUCACGUUCAACCUGAAGUCCUCACCCAGUUCAGGGGAACUGAUGUUCAUGGAGCGCUACCAGGAAGUGAUCCAAGAACUGGCCCAAGUAGAGCACAAGAUUGAAAACCAGAACUCAGAUGGGGGUAGCAGCACCAUUCGGAGAACUGGCAGUGGCCGCUCAACUCUACAGGCCAUUGGCAGCGCUGCGGCAGCAGGAAUGGUGUUUUACUCUAUCUCUGAUGUGACCGACAAGCUGCUCAACACCUCUGGAGACCCCAUCCCCACGCUCCAGGAGGACUUUUGGAUAAGCACGGCUCUAGUGGAGCCCACUGCUCCUCUGAGAGAGGUUCUGGAAGACCUCAGUCCUCCUGCCAUGGCUGCGUUUGACCUAGCUUGCUCUCAGUGCCAGCUCUGGAAAACCUGCAAGCAGCUUUUGGAGACGGCUGAACGACGUUUGAAUAGUAGCCUUGAAAGGCGGGGUCGACGGAUAGACCACGUACUCCUAAAUGCUGAUGGCAUUCGAGGUUUUCCAGUUGUUCUUCAGCAAAUCAGUAAGAGUCUCAAUUAUCUGCUUAUGUCAGCCAGUCAAACCAAAUCAGACAGUGUGGAAGAAAAGGGAGGAGGCCCUCCACGGUGCAGCAUCACUGAACUGCUUCAGAUGUGCUGGCCCAGCCUAACCGAGGACUGUGUUGCCAGCCACACCACCCUCUCCCAGCAGCUAGAUCAGGUCCUUCAGUCACUGAGAGAGGCACUAGAGCUGGCAGAGCCCAGGACUUCUCCACUCUCUUCCCUGGUGGAGCAGGCAGCCCAGAAAGCUCCAGAGGCAGAGGCCCACCCUGUGCAGAUCCAGACUCAGCUCCUCCAGAAGAACCUGGGCAAACAGACCCCAUCAGGCAGCAGGCAGAUGGACUACUUGGGCACCUUCUUCAGUUACUGCAGCACCCUUGCUGCAGUUCUCCUGCAAAGUUUGAGCUCUGAGCCUGAUCAUGUGGAGGUCAAGGUAGGAAAUCCCUUUGUUCUGCUGCAACAGAGCUCUUCCCAACUGGUGUCACAUCUCCUGUUUGAGAGACAAGUUCCCCCAGAGAGACUGGCAGCCCUUCUGGCCCAAGAGAAUCUCAGCCUAAGUGUGCCGCAGGUCAUCGUCAGCUGCUGCUGUGAGCCCCUUGCUCUUUGCUCAUCCCGGCAAAGCCAGCAGACCUCCUCCCUCCUGACUCGUCUGGGUACUCUGGCCCAGCUACACGCCUCCCACUGCCUGGAUGACCUCCCACUUUCUACACCGAGCUCCCCGAGGCCAACUGAGAACCCCACAUUGGAAAGAAAGCCCUACUCCUCCCCAAGGGACUCAUCACUCCCAGCCCUCACCUCCUCUGCCUUGGCCUUUCUUAAGUCACGCUCAAAGCUCCUAGCUACGGUGGCCUGCCUGGGGGCUUCCCCGAGGUUAAAGGUCGGCAAGCCCAGCUUGUCAUGGAAGGAACUUCGUGGCUGCAGGGAGGUGCCUCUGGCUGCAGAGCAGGUAGCCCGGGAGUGUGAGCGCCUUCUGGAACAAUUCCCUCUGUUUGAGGCCUUCCUCCUUGCUGCCUGGGAGCCCCUGCAAGGGUCUUUGCAGCAGGGGCAGAGUCUGGCAGUGAAUCUCUGUGGCUGGGCCAGUCUUUCUACCGUUCUCCUGGGCCUACAUUCUCCCAUUGCCCUAGAUGUACUGAGUGAGGCUUUUGAGGAAUCCUUGGUGGCCAGAGAUUGGUCCCGGGCCCUUCAGCUCACUGAAGUGUACGGGCGAGAUGUGGACGAUUUGAGCAGCAUAAAGGAUGCAGUCCUGAGCUGUGCUGUGGCAUGUGACAAAGAAGGUUGGCAAUACCUGUUUCCCGUGAAGGAUGCAUCUCUGAGAAGUCAGCUGGCCCUACAGUUUGUGGACAGGUGGCCCCUGGAGUCAUGCCUGGAGAUUCUGGCCUACUGCAUUUCAGACACGGCUGUCCAAGAAGGACUAAAGUGUGAGCUACAGAGGAAGCUGGCGGAGCUGCAGGUGUAUCAGAAGAUUCUGGGUUUGCAGUCUCCCCCAGUGUGGUGUGACUGGCAGACCUUGAGGAGCUGUUGUGUUGAGGACCCAUCAACUGUCAUGAACAUGAUUCUAGAAGCACAGGAGUAUGAACUGUGUGAAGAGUGGGGCUGCCUGUACCCCAUUCCAAGAGAACAUUUAAUCAGCCUUCAUCAAAAGCAUCUUCUCCACCUUCUAGAAAGAAGAGAUCAUGACAAGGCUCUGCAACUCCUGCGAAGAAUCCCUGACCCCAACAUGUGCCUUGAAGUGACAGAGCAAUCCCUCGACCAGCACACUAGCUUGGCCACUUCUCACUUCUUGGCCAACUACCUCACCACCCACUUCUAUGGACAACUGACUGCUAUCCGACACCGUGAAAUCCAGGCGCUGAUUCUGCUGACCCUGCCUGAGCAGCACCGGGCCAGCUAUUCCCACUUGUCCUCUAAUCCCCUGCUCAUGCUGGAGCAGCUGCUUAUGAACAUGAAGGUGGAUUGGGCCACUGUGGCUGUUCAGACUCUGCAGCAGCUGCUGGUUGGACAGGAGAUUGGCUUCACUAUGGACGAGGUGGACUCACUGCUUUCCAGAUACGCAGAGAAAGCCCUGGACUUUCCAUACCCUCAGAGGGAGAAACGAUCAGAUUCUGUGAUUCACCUCCAAGAAAUUGUCCACCAGGCUGCAGAUCCCGAGACCCUCCCUAGAUCACCAUCAGCAGAGUUCUCUCCUGCUGCUCCUCCUGGUAUCUCCAGUGUACAUUCCCCUAGUCUAAGAGAAAGGAGUUUCCCACCAACCCAGCCCCCACAGGAAUUUGUGCCCCCAGCGACACCCCCUGCCAGGCACCAGUGGGUACCGGAUGAGACUGAGAGUAUCUGCAUGGUCUGCUGCAGGGAGCACUUCACCAUGUUUAACAGGCGUCAUCAUUGUCGCCGCUGUGGCCGGCUAGUGUGCAGCUCCUGCUCCACUAAGAAAAUGGUGGUUGAAGGCUGCAGAGAGAACCCUGCUCGUGUGUGUGAUCAGUGCUAUAGUUACUGCAACAAAGAUGUACCAGAGGAGCCUUCAGGAAAACCAGAAGCUCUAGACAGCUCCAAGAGUGAAAGCCCUCCAUACUCAUUUGUGGUGAGAGUCCCCAAAGCAGAUGAGGUGGAAUGGAUUUUGGAUCUCAAAGAGGAGGAAAAUGAGCUGGUGCGGAGUGAAUUUUACUAUGAGCAGGCCCCCAGCGCCUCCUUGUGCAUUGCCAUCCUGAAUCUGCACCGGGACAGCAUUGCCUGUGGUCACCAGCUGAUUGAGCACUGCUGCAGGCUCUCCAAGGGCCUCACCAACCCAGAGGUGGAUGCCGGGCUGCUCACAGACAUCAUGAAGCAGCUGCUGUUCAGCGCCAAGAUGAUGUUCGUCAAAGCCGGCCAGAGCCAAGACUUGGCUCUUUGUGACAGCUACAUCAGCAAGGUAGACGUGCUGAAUAUUUUAGUUGCUGCUGCCUAUCGCCACGUGCCAUCUUUGGAUCAGAUCUUGCAGCCAGCUGCGGUAACCAGGCUAAGGAACCAGCUUUUGGAAGCCGAGUACUACCAACUGGGCGUUGAGGUCUCCACAAAGACUGGGCUUGAUACCACCGGGGCAUGGCAUGCUUGGGGCAUGGCCUGCCUCAAAGCCGGGAACCUCACUGCUGCACGGGAGAAGUUUAGUCGCUGUCUGAAGCCCCCGUUUGACCUCAAUCAGCUGAAUCAUGGCUCAAGGCUGGUGCAGGAUGUGGUCGAGUACCUAGAGUCCACAGUGAGGCCCCUUGUAUCCUUGGUAAGAGCAAAGCAGGAAGAGUGCCUGGCUCAGGGAGGGAGGCCCAGGAAUAGCAAUCACCUGGGAAAAGAAUCAGUGGAAAUUCAGCUAACAGUGUCAGUCCUGGCUCAGCAUCGACCAGGUUAAAAUUUUUUUUUCCAUCACAUAUAGUUAGAUAAGUAACCAUACAUGGUUAGAUAAGUAAUAGACGCAAUUUUUUUUUAAAAAAAAGGAAACAAUUUUUAAAAAGAUAAAAAUGACAUAUGACAUAUAAUCCCAUACAUACACAGACUGAUUAGUGUUAAGAUUCUGGUGAAUUUUCUAUGUUACGUUAUUUAAUGAAACAGGGGUUGUACCAUAUCAUAAUAUAUAGAAUUGUGUAUCCUGCCUGUUCUACCUUUGACACUGUGAAAAAUUGUGAACAUUUUUCCACAUUGUUAAAUAUUCUUUCUUUCUUUAUUUUUAUUUUUUUAUUAUACUUUAAGUUCUAGGGUACAUGUGCACAACGUGCAGGUUUGUUACAUAUGUAUACAUGUGCCAUGUUGGUGUGCACAUUGUUAAAUAUUCUUUGCAAGCAAUAUUUUCAGUGUCUGCUGAGAACUUUUUGAGUUUCAUUUUUCUCUCUCCCUCUCCUGUGCUGUCAGCAAGAUGACGAUUACUUUGCCACCCUGAGGGAACUGGAAGCUACCCUUCGGACGCAGAGCCUUUCUCUGGCAGUGAUUCCUGAAGGGAAAAUCAUGAACAACACCUACUACCAGGAAUGCCUCUUCUACCUGCACAACUAUAGCACCAACCUGGCCAUCAUCAGCUUCUAUGUGAGGCACAGCUGCCUGCGGGAAGCUCUUCUGCACCUUCUCAACAAGGAGAGUCCUCCAGAAGUUUUUAUAGAAGGCAUUUUCCAGCCAAGUUAUAAAAGUGGGAAGCUACACACUUUGGAGAACUUGCUAGAAUCCAUUGAUCCAACCUUGGAGAGCUGGGGAAAGUACUUGAUUGCUGCCUGCCAACAUUUACAGAAGAAGAACUACUACCACAUUCUGUAUGAGCUGCAGCAGUUUAUGAAGGACCAAGUUCGGGCCGCCAUGACCUGUAUUCGGUUCUUCAGUCACAAAGCAAAGUCAUAUACAGAACUGGGAGAGAAGCUCUCAUGGCUACUUAAGGCCAAGGACCACCUGAAGAUCUACCUCCAAGAAACAUCCCGCAGCUCUGGAAGGAAGAAAACCACAUUCUUCAGAAAGAAGAUGACUGCAGCUGAUGUGUCAAGGCACAUGAACACACUUCAGCUGCAGAUGGAAGUGACCAGGUUCUUGCAUCGGUGUGAAAGUGCUGGGACCUCUCAAAUCACCACUUUGCCUCUGCCAACCCUGUUUGGAAAUAACCACAUGAAAAUGGAUGUUGCCUGCAAGGUCAUGCUGGGAGGGAAAAAUGUAGAAGAUGGUUUUGGAAUUGCUUUCCGUGUUCUGCAGGACUUCCAGCUGGAUGCUGCCAUGACCUACUGCAGAGCUGCCCGCCAGUUGGUGGAGAAAGAGAAGUACAGUGAGAUCCAGCAACUGCUCAAAUGUGUCAGUGAGUCAGGCGUGGCAGCCAAAAGUGAUGGGGACACCAUCCUCCUCAACUGCCUGGAAGCGUUCAAGAGAAUUCCACCCCAGGAGCUGGAGGGCCUGAUCCAGGCAAUACACAAUGAUGACAACAAGGUUCGGGCCUACCUGAUAUGUUGCAAACUGCGUUCUGCCUACUUGAUUGCUGUGAAGCAAGAACACUCACGGGCCACAGCCCUCGUCCAGCAGGUGCAGCAGGCCGCCAAGAGCAGCGGGGAUGCAGUAGUGCAAGACAUCUGUGCCCAAUGGCUUCUGACAAGCCACCCCCGGGGUGCCCAUGGCUCAGGCUCCAGGAAGUGACCUUGGACAGUGGGGCUAGGAACACGUGGCCUGAGAGCUGGGCAACAGCAGUGAUGGCGAUGCCCUCCACCUCUUUCCUCCUGUGGAGUGGGACUUCUCUGGCUCUGCCCUAGGUUGGAAAGAGCUGGAUUGGACCCUACUUGCCUUCCCGGGCAAGGAUAGGACCUUUCACGCAAGUGCCAUGUUUCUCUAAAAUUGUGGAAUCUA
rnacentral:sRNA from 1 species